CCUACGGGCGGCAGCAGUGGGGAAUAUUGGACAAUGGGCGAAAGCCUGAUCCAGCCAUGCCGCGUGUGUGAAGAAGGCCUUCGGGUUGUAAAGCACUUUCAGUGGGGAAGAAAGCCUUGGGGCUAAUACCCUCGAGGAAGGACAUCACCCACAGAAGAAGCACCGGCUAACUCCGUGCCAGUAGCCGCGGUAAUACGGAGGGUGCGAGCGUUAAUCGGAAUUACUGGGCGUAAAGCGCGCGUAGGCGGUCUGAUAAGCCGGUUGUGAAAGCCCCGGGCUCAACCUGGGAACGGCAUCCGGAACUGUCAGGCUAGAGUGCAGGAGAGGAAGGUAGAAUUCCCGGUGUAGCGGUGAAAUGCGUAGAGAUCGGGAGGAAUACCAGUGGCGAAGGCGGCCUUCUGGACUGACACUGACGCUGAGGUGCGAAAGCGUGGGUAGCAAACAGGAUUAGAUACCCGAGUAGUC
rnacentral:rRNA from 1 species